rnacentral:rRNA from 1 species
AGGGGUGGGUAACACGUAUCCAACCUUCCGGUAACUCCGGUAUAGCCUUUCGAAAGAAAGAUUAAUCCCGGAUAGUAUGGUGAUUCCGCAUGGUUUCUCCAUUAAAGGAUUCCGGUUACCGAUGGGGAUGCGUUCCAUUAGGCAGUUGGCGGGGUAACGGCCCACCAAACCUACGAUGGAUAGGGGUUCUGAGAGGAAGGUCCCCCACAUUGGAACUGAGACACGGUCCAAACUCCUACGGGAGGCAGCAGUGAGGAAUAUUGGUCAAUGGGCGGAAGCCUGAACCAGCCAAGUAGCGUGAAGGAUGACUGCCCUAUGGGUUGUAAACUUCUUUUAUAAGGGAAUAAAUGUGGGUACGCGUACCCGUUUGCAUGUACCUUAUGAAUAAGGAUCGGCUAACUCCGUGCCAGCAGCCGCGGUAAUACGGAGGAUCCGAGCGUUAUCCGGAUUUAUUGGGUUUAAAGGGAGCGUAGGCGGGCGCUUAAGUCAGCUGUGAAAGUUUGGGGCUCAACCUUAAAAUUGCAGUUGAUACUGGGUGCCUUGAGUGCAGUAUAGGCAGGCGGAAUUCGUGGUGUAGCGGUGAAAUGCUUAGAUAUCACGAAGAACUCCUAUUGCGAAGGCAGCUUGCUGGAGUGUAACUGACGCUGAUGCUCGAAAGUGUGGGUAUCAAACAGGAUUAGAUACCCUGGUAGUCCACACAGUAAACGAUGAAUACUCGCUGUUUGCGAUAUACUGCAAGCGGCCAAGCGAAAGCGUUAAGUAUUCCACCUGGGGAGUACGCCGGCAACGGUGAAACUCAAAUGAAUUGACGG